CACAGUGCAGCCCAAAGGGCUCUAUGGAAAUAUGCUUAUGAAUGUAUAUAUGACAUAACUUGAAUAUGUUUUAUUCUACAUAUGCCAUAUAACAUGUCUCUGUAAAGGUCAUGAUCUACUGAAUCUAUUAAUCCUAUUUGUAUGUACGCGUCAUUUUUGUAUUUGAAGUUAUGAAUAUUGGCUGUGUACUGGCUUGAUUUUUAAGUAGCCUUUGUAAAGCAUUUGGUCAGUUUCUUGA